rnacentral:rRNA from 1 species
CGCCUCUUGCUAACAAAGGAAGUACUAGAGGUCCCGCCUGCCCUGUGACCACAAAGUUUAACGGCCGCGGUAUCCUGACCGUGCGAAGGUAGCGUAAUCAUUUGUCUUUUAAAUAGAGACCUGUAUGAAUGGCAUAACGAGGGUUUAACUGUCUCCUUCCCCCAGUCAAUGAAAUUGAUCUGCCCGUGCAGAAGCGGACAUAAAUACAUAAGACGAGAAGACCCUAUGGAGCUUUAGACAAAAGAUCAAACAUGUAAAGAAACCAAAACAACCAAAAGGAACACGAAGGCCACAAAACCCAACGUAAACUGAUCUAAAUGUCUUCGGUUGGGGCGACCAUGGGGGAAAGAAAAGCCCCCACGAGGAACAGGGACAACCCCUAAACUAAGAGGGACCCCUCUAAGCAACAGAAAAUCUGACCAAAAUGACCCAGGAUACUAAUCCUGAUCAACGAACCAAGUUACCCUAGGGAUAACAGCGCAAUCCUUUCCCAGAGUCCAUAUCGACGAAAGGGUUUACGACCUCGAUGUUGGAUCAGGACAUCCUAAUGGUGCAGCCGC